UAAGGAAUAUUGGUCAAUGGACGAAAGUCUGAACCAGCCAUGCCGCGUGAAGGAUGACGGCCCUCUGGGUUGUAAACUUCUUUUAUCUGGGACGAAAAAAGAUCAUUCCUGAUCACUUGACGGUACCAUGUGAAUAAGCACCGGCUAACUCCGUGCCAGCAGCCGCGGUAAUACGGAGGGUGCAAGCGUUAUCCGGAUUCACUGGGUUUAAAGGGUGCGUAGGUGGGUUGGUAAGUCAGUGGUGAAAUCUCCGAGCUUAACUUGGAAACUGCAUUCGAUACCGGGAAGCUAGAGUAUGGGAGAGGAUGGUAGAAUUCCAGGUGUAGCGGUGAAAUGCGUAGAUAUGCGGAGGAACACCGAUGGCGAAGGCAAUCCCCUGGACCUGUACUGACGCUCAUGCACGAAAGCGUGGGGAGCAAACA
rnacentral:rRNA from 1 species